UGCAAAUCAAAAACUAUGAUCGCGACCAAAAUAUUAUAUAUUUUAAUCGAUCGCGAGUUUUCAAUUUUUUUGAAUAGUUCAUUAAGUAAAACAAUGCACUUUAGAAUUUUUGAAAUUGUUUAGUUAGUUAACUAAUAAUGUUUAGUUACUUUUUUUUGUAUUUUUAUUAAAUAAUGUGGUGCAAUAUCCUCUAUGUCGUCAAUUCCAUGAUUAUAAUGACGACUUAAGUAUAAAAUUAUGCAGCAAAUAGUAACUACGGGUAGACUCAUCUCGCGUGCAUUAUGGAAUGGGUUCACAAAUUUAUCCCCUUCAAAUUCUGAACACGCAAACAAAAAACGCGAACCUUCAUUCCUAUAUGCAGUUUGUGGAUUUCCCAAAGAAUCAUCUCGCAAACACUCACCAGUUAAAGGAAAAUUUGGCGAUGACGCUUGGUUCUCUGCUAAAGGAAAAGCUACUGAUGUUUUAGGAGUUGCUGACGGUGUUGGUGGAUGGCGACACUAUGGUAUAGAUCCCGGUGAAUUUUCAAGUUUUCUCAUGACAACAUGUGAAAGACUUGUAUCUUUAGGAAAAAUAAUACCUAAUGAGCCCAAUAAACUUUUAGCACAAAGUUAUUAUGAAUUACUUGAAAACAAACAACCAAUUUUAGGAAGUAGUACUGCUUGUGUUGUUGUACUAAACAAAGAAACUUGCAGUAUAUACACAGCUAAUAUUGGUGAUAGUGGCUUUAUGGUUGUACGUGGAGGCCAUGUUGUGCAUCGUUCUGAAGAACAGCAGCACUAUUUUAACACGCCCUAUCAGUUGUCAGUACCACCUCCUACACAUAGUGGCCAAGUUCUCAGCGACAGCCCAGACUCGGCUGAUAUAUCAGAUUUUGCUGUGGAAAAUGGAGAUGUCAUUCUUUUAGCAACUGAUGGAGUUUUUGACAAUGUUCCUGAUCAUUUGUUGCUUAAAGAAUUAAGUCGAGUUGAAGGUGUUCGUGACCCUACUAAAUUACAGUGUGCAGCAAAUACAAUUGCUUGGAUGGCUAGAAUUUUAGCUUUUGAUAGAUCUUUCUUAUCACCAUUUGCACGUGCUGCUCAAGCGAAUGGCAUCAAUACUGUUGUCCUUUAUCAAAAUUUUGCAUCAAGUUUAGUAUGUAUGUGACUUGUGCAUUUUUUCUCAGACCUAAAAACCAGCCAGUUUGAGUGGCUAGCUAGUAGUUUUUCGAAAAGGUCAUGGCCCAUAAACAUUACUUUUCGGUGGGAAACCUGAUGAUAUAACUGUGCUUUUAGCAACUAUAGCUAUGUGAAGAACCAACAAUAGGUUAGUUCUAAAUUAUAUACUUAGACAUAAUUUCUGGUAAGUGUGUCCUUUUUUUUUAAUUCUAAGCGUAUAUCAGUUUUUUUUGGUUUUAAAAUUAAAUUCAAAACCUUAUCAAAAUUUAACUUAUCAAGUCCGAUUUACAGUUUUCUAUGUACUUUUAGUAUCCAUCUAAAAUCAAAUAGCUAUGUGGUAUAUACUGUGUGUAUAAUUAAUUUGAGAAUCACUGGCCAAAAUGAUAUAGAAUGUUUAACCAUUUAAUUGUGAAGCAAAAAAAUUAACUACUUUUUUUUAUAAAUUUAUUAUUAUCUUGUUCAAAAAAUUAUAUAAAUAUUUUUUACUGCCAGUUAAAGAACCAAUAUUUUAAGAUAAUUUACAAUUUAUUCAAGGUUUGUUUUUUUUUAAUAAACUAUUUAUAUUUAAACGUGUAUAAACAAUCUAGUCAUUUUUGUUGUUGAAAUCAUCCCCCCUAAAUUAUUUGAUUCAAGUACAUUUUUUUCCAUUCAGAAAUAAUUUUGUUUUAUAUAAUAACGAUUAAUAUACUAUAAAAUAUUUAAAAUUUGUUAACAUUUUAUAAAUAUGAUUACGGUACUGAAUUAUAUUGAAAUAUCAUACAAUAAUCAAUUUAUUAAAGGGAAUAAAUACGUUUUUAUUAAUGGUGUUUUUGAUAUAACAAAUAUAAAAUUUUUGUAUUGAAUUGUUUGCCCAUUUGUACAUUUUAGCUUAAAAUGUUUAGCUAUUAUAAUACACGGUUAAAAUUGUAUUAUUUUUUACAUCCAAUAAUUGUGUUUAUUGUCCUACUUUGUAUAUUAUAUAAAACAAAUUAUACUAAACUGCAGUAUGUUAAUAAAUACUAUUUGUGUAUAGUUUAUAUUACUAUAAUUUCUCUAAGAUGUUUUAUAUUCUUAAUUAAUGCUAUAACAUCUAUAAAUUUACAUACCUAACUUUUCAUUAAUGUUAUCUCUUUUAACAUUUGUUUGCUGUAUAAUGAUCAUGUGAAUGUAACAAAAAAAUGAAUUAAUUGUUAUGUGAUUUAUAAGUUGUAAAAAUAAAUAGGUUUUGAUGGUUCAAUUUUUAAGCUCUAUCUGCUAAAUACUUUUUUAGGGUGGCUUCUAGUAAACUGCAGGUAUUACCACUUUUCUAAUCAUUGGUAUAAUAUGUUGUAUGUAGAUUAAUGGUAGGGAUAUCCAUGGAAUAUUUGUAUUUUUUAUCCAAGUUAAAUAAUAAAAUAAUUGUUUUAAAUAUACAUCAUAAAUAUAAGUAUUUGUUUAUAAGCAGAUUUGUAACAAUAGCUUUAUUAUUUAUUUGGAUUAAAAAAAAAAUUGUCAAAUUCAAAUUUCAGUUCCAACCCGAA